UGCCGUUCCCCUCACAGCUCCGUAGGCAAGCACCAUGGUCUUGUAGCGGAUGCGAGCUUCAACUGGAAGCCAGUGGAGAGAGCGGAGGAGCGGAGUGACGUGAGAGAACUUGGGAAGGUUGAACACCAGACGUAGAUCAUCUCUAGCCUGGUCAUUGUCAAUGCACCUGUUGAUGCUCUGACCCAAGAGGAAUGGGAGGUGGUGGAGGAGGUGUGCAGAGUCCUGGAACCCUUUGAGCAGGUCACUGUGGAGAUCAGUGGAGAGAGCUAUGUGACAGCCUCAGAAAUUAUGCUCCUGUGUAAGGGUCUGCAGCGAAUCACAGCCAGCCGCCAGAGAGAAGCAAAUGUAACCACAGGACAUGUGACAGACUUGAUGGACAUCCUGUGUUCAUCAAUGGACAGAAUGGAUUAUAAUCACGUGCUAUCAGAAACCGCUGCACUUCACCACAGGUUUAAGAAGUUAGCCUUCAGUGAUGCCAGAGUGAGUGAUGAGGCUCUUCAAAGAAUAACCUCAGCAGCAGGGAGGGACAGCCCCAGCAGUCAGCUGUCUCAGGCACCAGGGCAACAGGAAGAAGAGGGAGCAGAUUGAGCAGAAGCACGAGCAGUAGUGCCACAAACGUCUGAUGAGAGAGCAACUGGGGAUGCAGCACGAAGGAAUUCCUCAGCAGAUGCCAUAAUGGAGGUCCGGUCCUAUUUGGAGGAGCCCCUCCUCCUCUGAGCUGGUGGAAGAACAAGGCCUCUGUCUACCCACAGUUUACUAAAGUCAUGACAUGGAGACUCUGCAUAAUGGCCACAUCCGUUCCCUCUGAAAGGGUCUUCUCAAAAAUGGGAAAAAUAAUUACUGAGAGAAGAAACCGCAUCAGCCCCUCGAAAGUGAGGCAGCUUGCAUUUCUGAAUGCAAAUCUCUCAUAAAAGCAAAGUAUGGUCAGCAUUGCUGUGUGCUGCUGGUUAUUACAUGGCAAUAAAGAAGAGAGAGAAAAGAGGGACCAGUUUAAUGUUUUAAGUGGGAUGCUGCAGUUUUGCACAUUGUUAUUUAUUUUUCUUUGAUAUGGUGCAAUAUUCUAUUAUGCUGUUCAGAUUUGUUUUGAAUGGUUAGAUUUAUAUGCACUUUGUUAAUAUACAUUAAAAAGUUAUACUUUAAAUGUUUAAUAGCAUUCUUUUUCAUAACAAAUCAAAUCAAGCUAACCCAAAUUGAAUUUCAUUAAUUUCUUAAAUCUUCUCUAGGCACUCCCUUCCCAAACCUGAAGCCCCGUCCCCAGCGGAAAAGACCAGGAAGAAGAUUUGGCUUAAGCUCGCUGGGUGACAGGUGAGUCUUUCCACCAAGCUGUUCCAGUCCUGGAGUGGCCCGCUGGAACUUCCAGAGGCUUGUAGACCUGAACAGUGUAAUGUGGUCCAGAUCUGCCACCCCGAGCAGUUCAGCUGCAGUCACAGUAGUCCUCUGCUGUGGUAUUUAAUUUACCAGCUGCACCAGAUCCUACUACACUGGCCGUGAAGGGAGAAACUUUUGAGGAUUCCCAGAUGGAUACAGAUCUGCCAUGCACUCCACCACUGCCCGACAGCCUCACCCAGAAGUGCAUACACUGGGUCUAUCAAGACUGACAAAGCAGAGAUGGGUGGCUGACAAGGAAAAAUAAACGCAACAUACACACACAUACUCUCUCUCUCUGUCAAACACACUCACACACAUUAUCUCCAAUGUAUACACAAUGUAUGUACUGACUCGGUGAGCGAGGUUAUUAGCAGUGCAUCAGUGAUAUUGUACCCACUGUGACUAUUAAAACCGAAUCACGGCAAGGCGAUUGGAAACAUGACCAAAUACAAAACAGUGUAGCUAUUCCC